UGAUUCUGAAUUUUCAACCAGAAGUUAUUACAGGAAAAGAGGGGGUCAGCAGAGUCGAGCCUGCCAUCUUUCCAUGUUCCUGCUCUACCAGCUUCAGGACAGUGUCCUCCUCGGGCAGGCAGCACAGGUGCUCUGGCAGUUUGAAGUAUUAUAGGCCAACAUAAUUUUAGCGGGGAAGAAGUUUCUGGGUGACUUUUAGGAAUAAGGAAAAGUUGUCAAUAAUUUCACAUCUUCUAGCCCACAAUUGGGGCCCAUCACUGUCAAGGGACACUGGCUUUCAGACCAGUUAGGGUUCCCUUGGGCCUCUGGGAACCCAUGCAUCCCCCCUGAGGCAUAUGCAACAUAAAGAGGUGGGUCCCUGAGAAAAAUCAGGACUGUUAAGAAAGAAGGAGCAGCCCACGUGUCCACUCUGGACACUUUAGUAACCUCCAUCCCUGAUCUGCCCUUAAUUUCAGGUUUGUGGGUCUAACUGCUUACCUGAUGUGACCCAUCUCAACUGGUACUUCUGCUAAUCACUCAGGCCAAAACGCAAACCAUCUUGAGUUCCCAUAUUCUCUGUCCCCAUGAGUCCUGGCAGCUCUGCCUCCAUUAUAUCAUUACAUGUGGUUCCUGACACCCAUAUUCAGCACAGCCAUUUCUUGGAAGCCCCUCUAGUGGUACGAGCCCUUGCUUCAAAUCCUCCAGCCGUCCCUAUGGUAUAAAGUUCAACCAUCUAGCAUAGUCUCUGAGUCUCCAACAUGAGCAGUCUCUUGCCUGUGCCGACCACUCAUGCCCGAUUCCUCUUCCUCAAACACAGCAGACUUGCUCCUUCUCAGACCUCAGGCCUGCCAUCUCCUUAGCUUGGGAUACUCCCUAACUCUGUAUUUCUGCUUUUCUAAAAUUAUUACUGGCAAUGGAACUCAAGGCCUUACCAAGCUACAUCCCCAGCCCUUUUUUAUUUUGAAAGAGUCUUCCUGAGUUGCCCAGGCUGGCCUUCCAAGUAGCUGAGACUACAAGCAGGUGUCACCACACCUGGCCUACUUUCAAAAUGAUACUUACCCUGAGAUUGGCAGGUACCCUUUGCCACAUUCCUGUCUCAAAGUUGUUUACUUGCUUUUGACAGAACUCCACAGACCUGGUCAGGCAGGUGUCCUCUCCUCCCUGCAUUUGGAGCCUCCCUGGUAUUGCUCAGGUGUCUUGUGUCCAUCUGUAACCUGCUGUGCUCCGAACACUGGUUAGGCCCUGCAGUGACAGCAGUAAGCAUGUUAGCCAGUGGCCUCACCUGUCAAUCCCAGUCUACACAAUGUCCACCGGCAGCCUAUGUCUCCCAUGUCUACAACCAGAAGUCUGCUGCAGCACUGUGCAUCUCCAUCACAGCUUGAGUCGCUAGCCUCAGGCUUGUCCUUCACUGUAUCUUCGCUAGCCGUCAACGACACUGCUUCAAGACAAAUCAUUUUUCAGUGCUCUCCCUGUUUACUAUCAUGUUUCUUCUCAGUCUUUUCUCCACUGUCAUGGCCUUAGACAUCCCCGCCUGUCACCCCCAUUAAAACCACCCAGAGGCACUCAGCUCACUCAGUAAAGCCUAAGUGCCCUCACCUGUGCCUUCACUCUUCUGGAUGAUCUGGUAGAUAACUUUCCGUGUCUGGGUAGUCUGUCUGCAAUGCCACCUUCCCUCACAAUCCUAUCCAAGUUCCACCUGUCCUUACAAGGCAUUGCUGUCCUGCCAUCUUUUGUCUCAUACUGUUGAUCACCGUCUAAUAGAUUGCUUGUUUACUGUGUGCUAGCCCCUGCUAGGAUGCACACUUCCUCAGGGCAGGGGUUUUUCCAUAUAUUUUUUGUUAGUGCUGUUUCUCCAGUACUGGGAACUGUAUAAAAAGUCUGUAAUAAUAGUUUCUGAAUAAAUGCUAAAUGAAGCAAUUUAUGUUUAAAGAUCAUUCUUGCUACCUUAUGGGAAAUAAAGUAGAAGAGAGUCAAGAGUGAC
rnacentral:lncRNA from 1 species